rnacentral:rRNA from 1 species
UACGUAGGGGGCGAGCGUUGUCCGGAUUCAUUGGGCGUAAAGAGCUCGUAGGCGGUCUGUCGCGUCGAUCGUGAAAACUUGGGGCUUAACCCUGAGCUUGCGGUCGAUACGGGCAUGACUGGAGUUCGGCAGGGGAGACUGGAAUUCCUGGUGUAGCGGUGAAAUGCGCAGAUAUCAGGAGGAACACCGGUGGCGAAGGCGGGUCUCUGGGCCGAUACUGACGCUGAGGAGCGAAAGCGUGGGGAGCAAACAGG